UACGAAGGGGGCUAGCGUUGCUCGGAAUCACUGGGCGUAAAGGGCGCGUAGGCGGGCUCUUAAGUCAGGGGUGAAAGCCCAAGGCUCAACCUUGGAAUUGCCUUUGAUACUGAGGGCCUUGAGACCGGAAGAGGUCGGCGGAACUGCGAGUGUAGAGGUGAAAUUCGUAGAUAUUCGCAAGAACACCAGUGGCGAAGGCGGCCGACUGGUCCGGUUCUGACGCUGAGGUGCGAAAGCGUGGGGAGCAAACAGG
rnacentral:rRNA from 1 species